rnacentral:SRP_RNA from 1 species
GUUGAGCAUGGUGCUACAUGCCCAUAAUCUCUGCUGUCUGGAAGCUGAAGCAAGUGGAUCUCUUGAGCUCAGGAGUUUUGAGCUGCAGUGGGCUAAGCUGAUUGGGCCUCUGCACUAAGUCCAGUGUCAAUAUGGUGAGCCACUCAGUUACCUAAGGAAGAGUGAACCAGCCCAGAUGGGAAACAAAGCUCCUGUUUCAAUCAGUAGUGGGAUGGGAUCUGGUGAGUAGCCACCACAUUUUCAUUCUUGCAAGAGAGAGAGACUCAGCCUAC